rnacentral:misc_RNA from 1 species
GGGAAGCCAUGGCGUUGUUUACAUCCCGGGGCCCAGUAGCAGGUCCCAGCCUCUUCCUUCUCGGGUGAUUUCUAGAGUAAAUAAUUGAGAGAAGACUACAAGUGUGUCCCAUCCCUGAAUUGGGAGUUCCCUGCUUUGUGCUUUAAGUCAGGCCAACAGGUUGAGACUCAAGCUGUUUUGGUCACAAGUCAGGACUUGAGGAUGUUGACCAGAGUCCGCUAAUAUCCUUCAAUAUUUAGACACCUGCUCCAAGUGAUACGCCAUGACAGAAGUGUUCCGGUUCGGCCUCGUGCCCAUCGCUUGUCGUGCCCGGAAUGAGGACCGCAGCCAAGUGGCAUUGAGUCUCAACAACAAUGAAGUGAAUAUAUAUGGCAGAGCUGCAUCAGAGUGGAAGCUUCAGGAAACACUCCAGGGUCAUGAUCUGCGUGUCACAGGCAUUGACUGGGCUCCCAGCACCAAUCGCAUUGUUACAUGUGGAGCAGUGACCUUCCUGGAAAUUACCGAGACUUAGUGUGCUUUGAAAAAGUCUUCUGGAGAGUGGGUCCAGGACUUACACCUGCAAACUUCCUGUUUCUUGGGUUGAGAAAAGAUGUAUACUACUCCCACGAGGAAAGAGCGACUAUCUUUGAUUAUAUCGUCAAAACGAAGAGGUUUGGAGAGGUUAAAGACACAGUGUUUGGCAGGAUAUGGCCGAGGCCCAGACAUUGAGUGGGCAGUUUACAUCUUCCAUGUUAAAAAUGUGAUGAACAGUGUUCAUCUCUUGAGUGCCAACGGAAGUGUCAUAUUUACAAAGGUUAUGUAAUCCAAUGUUUUAUUUGUAGCUGUGGCAUUUAUUGGAAAUAUUGGUGUGAUUUCAAUAGAAAGUGUUCAGACUCUCACUUGAAGUAUUUUUCUAACUUGAAUUUAUAUUAUAUCACCUGAAUUGAGUGUUAUAUGAUUUCUCUUUGUGUGUAUUUAAUUAUUUUUGUUUCUUUUUCUAGUGACUUUAAUUGUGAUUUAACUAGAAAGGGUUUUAGUUCCCAUUUGAUGUCAGUUUAUGACAAGUGAAUUUAUUGAUAUAACAAAAGUUUAGUGUUAGAGAUUUUUCCAUAUGGCAUUUUUAAUCUGUUUCUUUAACUGAUAAUUUCAUUAAAGACUGCAAUACAAUUUCUUACAGUGUAGACUUAUAUGCAUUGUUAAUAAAUGUGCUAUAUGUAUUUGAGAACUAAUGCCUGUGUAUUUUCAGCAAAUGUGUUGAUUGGGUUGAGAACCCUGUGGUGACAUGGACGCCUCUAAGAAUGCAAUCUCUGAAACCAGAUACUAGUUGAAAUUACAUGUAAGGUCCACCAAGUGUUGAGUACAGCACAUAGUCCAGAUAAUUGAAAAGAGACAGUGAAUACUUGUCGAGUACCGAAAAUCGGCUUUUCUGUUAGUCAUUCCUGAAAUGAAGAGUGAUAUUUUCAUGGGACAUUCUUGUCAAGUAUCAUCACUUAAUGUUUUAGCAUUACUCUGAGUACCUUGUGAAGUGAAACUUCUGUGUUGUUUUCUUUAGAGAGCGUUAAUUUUUUUGUGUGACAGUCUCCGAUACUAUUACCAAUAAUUUUCAUGAUUAUAAUUUAAGAAGUAUUCUAUGCAAGUUUGUGUUAAUGUUUACCCCCCGUGUCUUGAAGGGUGUUAAUUGAGUUUAUCUUUGGUGGGGUAGUUUUGUAGAAGUUUUGUUGGGACAUCAACGCAUGAUGAUCACAGUAGUUGUUAAUAAGUUGCAACUCGUAUGCAAAGAAGACUGAGAAAGCUAGUGGUUGUCAUGGCUACUAGAAUUUGGGUGUUUGAGAAGGGAGAAGGUCAGAUCUUACGUCUCGGGUUUACCCAUCGCUAUUUCAAACAACAUCCAGAAAUAUGCGUGAGCGUCAAUUCGGAUUCAUGUAUAUAUGUUCCUUUUAGUAACGUAACCUCGAAAGCAGUUUGUUUGCUCACCGGUACAAUACUUGGAUAGUAUGAGCUAAUCCCGGAGCGAGAAAUUUCUUAUUUAGAUACUGCAGGGACCAAUCUAGGGAACAUUCCACAAGUAUAUGAUGAAUUAUGUAAAGUCAGUCAAGCAAAUGAAAUCUCCUUAUAUGCACCCCAUUACUUGGCGAUCCAGCUUGAACAGAAUAGGCCCAGUACCUUGAAAGUCAUUCCAGUAGAUGAUAAUAAUGCUUCCCCCCACUUCUUGUGUGAUCUGUAAUGGCAUACCAACAUCUUCCAUCAAUAACGUAAGGCUUAUUCAGGGGAUUUCGAACAGCAUGAUACCAUAUUGUGAUGAAGUAAAUAUGGGAAACACUAGACCCAAGAAGUUGAAAGAACUGAUUAGAAAUCAACCUUGGCCGCAUUUGACUAGAGAUAUGUGCAAGAUGUUGGAGGGUGUAAUGUGGAUCACACUGCUUUGUUUGUGUUAGGACCUCGGGAAAUAGGUACCAUGGUGGGGCAUCCCGCUAAUAUCCAACUAGCCAACGAUAACCCCAUUGGAGGGCCACAGUACCGACACCCUGAAAAGGCUAAGGAUGUCAUUAAAGGCAUGAUCACCGACAUGCACGACAGACAUAUCAUCGAACCAUCAACCGCUGUUUGGUUGUCUCCCAUUGUUUUAGUCACUAAACCCAAUGGUUCCAAACGCAUGUGUUUAGAUUUCCGAGCGGUAAACCAACAUUUGAAAGUAGAUAUACAACCCCUUCCCAGGUUAGAUGAAUUAGUAGGAAAAGCUGCCAGAAAUAAGUAUUAUGCUACUUUAGACUUGAGAGACGCAAAUUAUUAAAGUAAUACUUAACGACAAAAGUCGAGACCUAACCCCAUUUAGUGAUGGAAUAUAACUCAUGAAAGUUUAUACACUUAUCUUUUGGGCUUUUUCAGCCAGUCCCGUUAUUCUUUUUAUUUUACCAGAGAAGUAAACCUAGUGGUAGCCCCUUUUUGCAGCGAAGAACUGGGUGAGAAACUACCUCGAUGACGUGAUAGUGUGGGCUAAUGAUUUCACAACGUUGGUGGACAGGCUGGCCAGAGUGUUUGAUAGAUUCGUAGAAAUGGGAGUCAAGUUAAACUUAUUAAAGUGUCAGUCUGGUCAACAACAAGUGAAAUUUUUAGGGCAUGUAAUGUCAGAGAGAGGCAUUGAACCAGAUCCAGAGAAUGUCCGAGCUGUAUCAGAGUGUAAACCUAAACCCCCAAUUAAUGUGAAGCAAGUUCGCCGGUUUUUAGGAAUGUGUAGAUUCUACUGUAAACAUGUCCCCAACUUUGCCAAGAUAGCUUAUCCUAUCACCGAACUCACUAAAGCAAAUGUCACUUUCGGGUGGACUGAUAAAUGUCAGAGGUCCUUUGAUACGUUGAAACACGCCCUCACGUCAUUUCCAGUUCUCGUUAAAGCAGAUGCCGAUAAACCCUUUGAAUUGCACAGCGAUGCCAGUGACGUCUGUGUAGGAGCUUCCCUUGAUCAGGUGCAGACAGACGGCUCGUUACGUCUGGUAGGUUAUUUUUCCAGCAAAUUAAAACCCGCUGAGACUCGUUAUUCUACCACUGAUAAGGAAGCCCUCGGAAUUGUAUUAGCAUGCCGGUUUUUCCAUCAUUUUUUUGUGGGGCACACAAUUUACUAUCAAAACUGACCAUCAACCUCUGACCUCAGUCUUCAGGAAGAAGACUAAGAAUCAGAGAAUGAACAGGUGGAUGAUGAACAUCAACUGGUGGGUUUGCCAUCCAAGUUUGGCCAGUGUGAGACUUUUUGUGAAGGGAUUGUCAGUGUGUAGCCUGGGCCAGAGGAAUGA